UUUGCCCUCACUUGGUGACCUUCCUCUCUGGGGAUGUUUUAGAUCUCACCACUGAGCUGAGUUGGGAGCUGACCAUUCCCCCAGAAGUACAGCGGAUCGUCAAGGUGAAGGGGAAACGCAGCAGUGAGCACGUUCAUUCCCAGGGCCGUGUGAUGGGGGACCGCAGUGUGCUCUACAAGAGCCUGAACCCCAACCUGCUGGCCGUGGUGACGGAGAGCACAGACGCGCACCAUGAGCGCACCUUUAUUGGCAUCUUCCUCAUUGAUGGCGUCACUGGGCGUAUCAUCCACUCCUCUGUGCAGAAGAAAGCCAAGGGCCCUGUCCAUAUCGUGCAUUCAGAGAACUGGGUGGUGUACCAGUACUGGAACACCAAGGCUCGGCGCAACGAGUUUACCGUACUGGAGCUCUAUGAGGGCACCGAGCAAUACAACGCCACCGCCUUCAGCUCCUUGGACCGCCCCCAGCUGCCCCAGGUCCUCCAGCAGUCCUAUAUUUUCCCGUCCUCCAUCAGUGCCAUGGAGGCCACCAUCACUGAACGGGGCAUCACCAGCCGACACCUGCUGAUUGGACUACCUUCUGGAGCAAUUCUUUCCCUUCCUAAGGCUUUGCUGGAUCCCCGCCGCCCUGAGAUCCCAACAGAACAAAGCAGAGAGGAGAACUUAAUCCCGUAUUCUCCAGAUGUACAGAUACAUGCAGAGCGAUUCAUCAACUAUAACCAGACAGUUUCUCGAAUGCGAGGUAUCUACACAGCUCCCUCGGGUCUGGAGUCCACUUGUUUG
rnacentral:sRNA from 1 species